GACAGAGGUGCCGAGCGUUAGGCGGAAUCACUGGGCUUAAAGCGUGUGUAGGCGGAUCUGUAAGUACCUUGUGAAAUCCCACGGCUCAACCGUGGAACUGCUGGGUAUACUGCGGAUCUUGAGCCACCUAGGGGCGAGCGGAACAAGUGGUGGAGCGGUGAAAUGCGUAGAUAUCACUUGGGACGCCAAUGGUGAAGACAGCUCGCUGGGGGUGUGCUGACGCUGAGACACGAAAGCCAGGGGAGCAAACGGG
rnacentral:rRNA from 1 species